rnacentral:lncRNA from 1 species
GUGCGGCGCGUGCGCACAGGACGGGACGGGAGGGCGGAGCGACUGCGCAGAUCAGGAAAAUUGUCACCUCUGGCCUCAGGGAAACUGAGACUCUGAGCAGUUAAGAGGCCAACGAUCCAGGUUUAUGCUAUCAGUGUCUGAGAUACAAUUAAGUCACCUCUUUGGGUGACAUUUCCCUUGACUAGUCACUCAAACUUAUGAUCCAGGUGAACUAUCCCUCCAUUGCCUCCAGACAUGUCUAUGACGCUACCUAGGGAUUGUGAAGAUUUACCACCUGGUGGAAAAUUAAAAAAAAAAAAAGACUUAUUCUGCAAAUUGACCAAGCUUAAGAGAUACAGCACUGAGAAUUCACCCACUACAGAGCUGGUACCAGGCCUUCAGAGUAAGUUGUGAUGUAUAGCCAUUCUCCUCAGCAGCCUGUUUGACUGAGGGAUAUAGGAAUGACUGCCCUUACCCAUGUUUUUGUUCAGAUUUAUGGUUCUAAAUCUGAUGGAAAAUCUAUUAUUGGAUCAUUUGAUUCUUCCUAGAGAAAGGCCAAACCACCUGUCAAACCCACGAGCAACACAGCAAUGGCUAAGCUGAAGAAGCCAAGUUAUAUGUCUAGCUCCUCUGGGGGUGGCAGAAUCCAGCUGUGGGAAGGCCAAGGUUCCUUGUGUUCUUCUGGCUUGACUGUGAUAUUUCCAAUUUGGAGGCACAAAGAAUUGAGAACUUGGGGAUCCACUGAGGUCUGAGGCAUGGUGGUACCAGAAGAAGUAAAGGGGCCAUCAGCAUGAAGCUGGUCCCCCAUCGACAGCACCCUGACUUCUCCAUCAGGUUCUAUCAGCAUGUCUACCGUGAGGUUGGUGACGCUGUCGGUAGAGGUCAGGAGAGGGCUUUGGAUCCACUGGAACUGAACUGAUACAUGGUUCUGAGCCUUGAUAUGGGUGCUGGGAACUGAACGUGGAUCCUCUACAAGAACAAUGGACUUUAAGGAAGGAUCUGAACGCCAGCCAGUGCUGCAUGAUGCUCCUGAGAUCUUCCAUUCUUCCAAGAACAACCAUAGCAUAUACAGACAGCACACCACCGUCACCACCGCCAGUGCCACUGUAUUGGUGGGAUACAUACACUUUCCAGCUUGUGAAUCGGGAGGCACACUUUCAAACAAAAACACUCUGUACAGCCUCAAGAGAAGGCUGCCUGCAACUGCUAGAGGUGGAGACGCCACACAUGCUAUCGCAGUCCUUGGGUAAUAACUGUGUGUCAUAAAUAGGAUGUGGCAUUUCAGAAUGUCUUUAAAGCUAUUUCCUUUUGUUCAACUAAUUUAAUUUACCAAAUGCUCCUGGGGAAAGGGAGGGGGAUCAAGAUGCUGACUCCACAUUUCCUGGGGAAAUCACCAUUUCCUU